GACCGCAGCCGCUCCUCCGGCCCGUCGCCGUCGAACCAGCUCAACAUGCGCCGAUCUGCCAUGACGAACUCGCUUGUCCGGAUCGGGACCGUGGAGGGAGAUCUCGUGAAGCGCGCCCUCGCCGCCCUCGUCCGCCCCUGCGCUCACCACCAGCGCCGCCGCAACGGCUUCCAGCCCCGCCCUAGCCGCCUCUCCGUCAUGUCCAAGGCCGGCGACGAUUAAUUAGCGCCGAUCCGAUCCAGAUCUGAUCGAUGCAGGUUCGUAACGGUACGGUACCAUAAAAUCUUGUUCUCUGUCCCUUCUCCAGCUCGCCGGUGAACACCCGAUCCCGAUCGGUCGGCAGGCGCUGGAAUAGAAACAAAGAGGGGUUGUGUUUAGCCCUCCCGGCCUUUUGUAACUACGGAUACUGAAAUUGAUCCGUGAUUUGUACAUACGGAUGAAUGGAACGUCAAU
rnacentral:misc_RNA from 1 species